AUAUUGUAUUAAAGGUCAGAGACCUGUUAAUGACAUGCUUGACAUACAUAGUGUAUAUAAAACAUAGACUAAUGACAAUAGAGAGAGCACAAAAGUGCAAUCUCCAAUCCAGUCUUUGACAACUGAUAAGUUGAUCACUAGUCUACAAAAGGUGCACAGGUGGUAAGUAAAGUGAAGAAGUGUGCACAUGCUCGAGUAGAGCCAGCAACAACUCCUUAUACUUCAUUAAUGAUCCUUCCGCAGGUUCACCUACGGAAA
rnacentral:misc_RNA from 1 species